rnacentral:misc_RNA from 1 species
CAAUUCAAACCCACAAGAAGAAUUGAAGAUAAUUUUCCAAGAAAUACAAGCACUGACCUAAGCUACUGUUCAAGUAGAAUCCAAGAUGAAGGCAUGAGUGGCGCAAUCAAAGGCAAGAUUAGAAGCACAACUGUAGAAUUUAUCUAAGUAAUUAUAGGAAUUCUUUCUUGGAAUCAGUGGGAACCGAUGAAGGGAAUCAAACAAAGGAACGAGCAAUGGUAGCAGUAACAUAAAUUUCGGCAAUAUGACUAAAGGAAGAACAGAGGCACGGUCCAAGAACUAGAAUGGUG